rnacentral:rRNA from 1 species
GACGAACGCUGGCGGCGUGCUUAACACAUGCAAGUCGAACGGAAAGGCCCCUUUGGGGGUACUCGAGUGGCGAACGGGUGAGUAACACGUGAGUAACCUGCCCUUUACUUCGGGAUAACUUCAGGAAACUGGGGCUAAUACCGGAUAGGAAUCCUUGCUGCAUGGUGGGGGUUGGAAAGCUUCGGCGGUUUUGGAUUGACUCGCGGCUUAUCAGCUUGUUGGUGGGGUAGUGGCUUACCAAGGCUUUGACGGGUAGCCGGCCUGAGAGGGCGACCGGCCACAUUGGGACUGAGAUACGGCCCAGACUCCUACGGGAGGCAGCAGUGGGGAAUAUUGCACAAUGGGCGGAAGCCUGAUGCAGCAACGCCGCGUGCGGGAUGACGGCCUUCGGGUUGUAAACCGCUUUCAGCAGGGGCGAAGCUUGUGGUGACGGUACCUGCAGAAGAAGCACCGGCUAACUACGUG